CUUUGUGAUAUUAUAAGAGUCAUUCUAUUCUGUGUGUAGAACUUUUAUUUGUGUGUACUUUAUGUGCUUUUUUAAUAUUGAAAUACCAUUUAUAUUACAAAAAUUAUCUAUAGGAUACCACAUGAAGUUAAGCACCACAGACACAGGUUGGCACCUAUGUGGCAACAAAGGCAGCUACAUACACAUGUGGUGGCAAUGCCUGAACGUAAAUGUCUACUGGGAAAAAGUGGUAACCCUUAGCUCCCAGGUAUUACAGAGAAGGUUAACACUAGACCCAUGGGGUUGUCUGUUAUCCAGACCCACGGAAGGACUUAACCGACAUGAGCAGAAAUUGCUUAAUAUGCUAUACCUGGCAGCACGAAGGGCAUUGUCGCACAAAUGGGCUAGCCCGGACCUACAUAGCAUGACCUUAGUAUACGCAAAAAUUAGAGAUAAUUAUCUUGUGGACAAGUUAACUGCCC